UACGUAGGGUGCGAGCGUUAAUCGGAAUUACUGGGCGUAAAGCGUGCGCAGGCGGUGAUGUAAGACAGUUGUGAAAUCCCCGGGCUCAACCUGGGAAUUGCAUCUGUGACUGCAUCGCUAGAGUACGGUAGAGGGGGAUGGAAUUCCGCGUGUAGCAGUGAAAUGCGUAGAUAUGCGGAGGAACACCGAUGGCGAAGGCAGCCUUCUGGGCCAACACUGACGCUCAUGCACGAAAGCGUCGGGGAGCAA
rnacentral:rRNA from 1 species